UAGUAACGUUUUUCUAUAAAA
rnacentral:piRNA from 1 species